ensembl:lncRNA
GUUUUUAUCAGCUGUUUGAAAUCUCAUUCUGAUGGCACCCAUUCACUGCAGAGGAUCCAUCAGUAAACAUGGACUAAAUUUCUCCAAAUCUGUUCUGAUGAAGAAGAGGUUUCCUGAGAUCCUGGCCAACUGACUGCAUCAUUUCUGCUUGAAAACUCUCAAAUCCAUAGGUUGCUUUUAAGGCCUUGUGUGCAUUUUCUUGAGUUGGGUGAGUAAUGGGAUGCUAAGUGAAUGGAGUUUAUAUAAGGUCUCCAGUUCUAUCUGUUGGCAGACACAAAGACAGAAGACACCUUCCACCUGAGUCGCACCAUCUGAAAUGGAGGCCCAGCUUCUACAACAACAAACACACCACGACUGGAUAGCGAUGGGAUUCAGAUUGAUGUGAUUUGCCUGAUUGUUGCUGAUUAAAACAAUCACACCCUGUCUGAUUUUAAUGUGCACAGAGACACUGUGAUAUAGGAGGAGACUUGCUUUUGAUUCUCAUGUAAGUAGAGAGGGAGUGUAGAUGUCAUGGAUGCCCUUAGUGUGAUACUCUGCUUUGGUGAUGAAUCCAUAUACCUGAGCAGACUGAAUGCACCAUAAAACACAUUUAUUUAUUGCCCGUGAUCUUAGAC